rnacentral:rRNA from 1 species
CGGACGGGUGAGUAAUGUCUGGGAAACUGCCCGAUGGAGGAGGAUAACUACUGGAAACGGUAGCUAAUACCGCAUAACGUCGCAAGACCAAAGAGGGGGACCUUCGGGCCUCUUGCCAUCGGAUGUGCCCAGAUGGGAUUAGCUAGUAGGUGGGGUAACGGCUCACCUAGGCGACGAUCCCUAGCUGGUCUGAGAGGAUGACCAGCCACACUGGGACUGAGACACGGCCCAG